AACGAACGCUGGCGGCGCGCCUAACACAUGCAAGUCGAACGGGGUUAUUUUUUGAAGCCGGCUUCGGUUGGUGAAAGAUUAUAACCUAGUGGCGGACGGGUGAGUAACACGUAGGUAACCUACCCUAGGGACCGGAAUACUCCCGAGAAAUCGGGGACAAUACCGGGUAUCAUUUCAGGGCGAAAUUCCCUGUAAUAAAAGCUGCGAGCAAUCGUGGCGCCUUAGGAUGGGCCUGCGGCCAAUCAGCUUGUUGGUGAGGUAACGGCUUACCAAGGCUAUGACGGGUAACCGGACUGAGAGGUCGAUCGGUCACACUGGAACUGAGACACGGCCCAGACUCCUACGGGAGGCAGCAGUGGGGAAUUUUGCGCAAUGGGCGAAAGCCUGACGCAGCGACGCCGCGUGGAGGAAGAAGGCCUUUGGGUUGUAAACUCCUUUCGUGAGGGAAAAAGUCCCGAGCAAUCGGGAUGAUGGUACCUCAAGAAGAAGCCACGGCUAAC
rnacentral:rRNA from 1 species